UGUAAGCAUGAGAAGAUCCUCUGACAUUUCCUCCUAAACGGCCAUGAUAAUACGUAACACUUGCCCCCUCCAGAGCCACUGCGCUUUGUUUGACAAGUCCAGCAACAGGGAUUAUAUGCCAGUACCCAGACGACAGCGCGCAGUGGGGAGGAUGAUAGCCUUCUACUGGACUGCUAAAGCAAAGCAGUGUGAACUGGAGAAUUUUCCAUCUGAGGAAACACUGCUGCCCUGCUUCUGAGGAGAUCAGAAUGGGGACACCAGCGGAGCUCUCAGUGAGUGAAGUGUGUCGGUGUGAGCCUGAUCCAGGGCUGGAGGGAGAAGGCUGGGGAAGUGACACUCAUGCGGAGCCCUCCAACACUCCAGUCCCACUGCCAGCAGCCAACAAGAAGAAAAAGAGGAA